GCCUUAAUGAAUACACGCAGAUAUCUGAGGUAUUAAAUGUGCGUAUAUAUAUAUAACACACUGUACAGGGAUACCCCCAAAACCUUACCAGAGAAAGCAGUACCCGGUCUGGACUGUGACAUCACUUCCGGGAAAUUGAACUCGGGAUGUCGUUAGCAGUCGUCUAUAACAACAGCAGUUUCUCUUUCAGCGAUAUUGUACCGUCGUUGCGUCUGCUGCCAUUCACUAUCUAUUUUUUACAGUGUCACUUAUUCUGCAAGACAUCUCAUGCCGAUAGAAACAUUCUGUUCCCAUUUCUACAAACUGAUGCGUCUAUAUCAGUAAUUUAAGAUGUGAGGAUAACUUCUGAAACUCUCUGAGGUAAUUAUCCAUUGGUGUACACAUUGCAUUUACUAUCAGACCCACUGCAAGGAGGAUGGUGUUCAAACAAAUGUUGUCCAAGGAAGUAUACAGCAUGUGUUCAACGCAGUUAAUUUAUAGAGCAAACAGAGAUUCAGCUUGAGCGCAUAAAUGUCACAUUGAAACUUUUCCUCUCUUAACUUUGAUCACCAGCAUGUCUCAACUUCACUUCUGACUCCUCCAUGACUUUGAAUUUCUUUUACAUUUAAAUAAUGUCUCUAAAAUUUGGAGCUGCUCAGGCCCCAGCUGAGCAAGCUGGGACUCCUCCGACUAACUAUGUGAUCAGGGAACCAAGUCCCCCGACCAGCAUAUUGGCUACAUUACAUGCAACCUCUACAGUUUCAAGCAGUACCUCCACAAUAUCUACUGAGUUAGAGGGAAAACAUACCUGGGCAUAUAUUUUAGUGCCUCUUGGAGCAAUUGUUUUCCUUGGGUUUGUCAUCUUUCUGAUUGUUGUAAUACUGAAGAAAAAUAGGUUAGACAAACUUCGGCACCAUUUGAUGCCAUUGUACAGUUUUGAUCCAGCUGCUGUAGAUGAAGACCAAGAUUGGGAAUGUGAAUUAUUAGAUGGAGAUAAAGAACAACAUGUUGCCCUGAGAUCUGAGCGCUGUGAGUCUUAUAAAAGCCUUCUGCAAUGUUCGCAUGGUAGCAUGCUGACGUGAAUACUUUCAUAUCUGCUGCUGCUGCUGCUAGUACUUCCUUCCUGGUCCCAAGAGCCCAAGUUUCCGACAUGCACCCAAGCUGAAAUUUUCUACAGAUCAUUCUGAACUGUAAGAAUAUUUCCCUCUGGAAGCUUAUUGUCUUACAAAUCCAGAAUUAUCAACUUCCUUCCUCUGUUGUGUCAGCUCAAGUAUUCUCCAGUAUGUCUUCUGCUUUUGGCAUCAUUCUCCAGCACAAUAUUGUUGACAAAAGUUCAUUCUCUGAAAAGGAAAUAGAGAGAAAAAGAGGACAUAUAAACAUGUUAUAACCAUUUUUGUUAACAAAAGUUAAUGUUUUGUUGUUUUUUGUUAUUAUAUUCAUUUGUUAAUUUUUUGUUCUGAAUUUGUUUAUAGAGAUAUCAUCACCAGCACUCUUUUCUUUUUCUCUCUCUCUCUCUCUCAAAAUAUUUGGAUAAAUUUCUUCAAAACAAUAAGCAAGAUGUCUAUAUCUAGAUAAUUGUUUUUCUAACACCUAUUUUAUCAAGUUAAUUUCUGUUGGAUAAUUCAGCAUAAUUCAGAAUUUUGAAGGUAAUGAAGCAUUUCAAGGUAUUUUGUUUUCCUUGUUUCAUACUUGAGCUUUAAUUGACAAAUACAAAGAUUAUUAUAAACCCUGUAUGAAUGGAUCUUUGAGGGAAAUCAAUGUAUUGCUAUUCUAACUAUUCUUAACAAAACUGAAGUUUCAAAAAUAUAAUUAUUCAAUGUAUUUUUCUCAAAAAAUUUGUUUUUUAAUAUAUUUAGAUCUAUCUCUGGUGUUUAAAACCCAUAAUGAGCUGCUGAGGUUUUCAUGUAGCUGCUUGUUUCUAUCUUAUUUGUUAUUUGACUAAGCUUCUUUUGAAAAGUCCAAAGUUGCAUCCUCAAGGUUAAUCAAAGAAAAGACUCAAGUUUUGUAUUCAAAGACAACCAACUUGUUAUAUUUUACCAAUAUCCAACAAGAACUCUUCUCCAAGUCUUCUUGAAACUUUGUCUCCCUGUAGUAUUUAGAAUGUUUCUUGAUAACAUCUUUUAGUCCAUAUGUUUGCAUCCCUUGCUUUUAUCAUGCAUAUCUCUAGACACUUACCAUCUAUACUUUUUAAACUUGCCAACAAUUUCAGUUAGGAUAUACUUCUUUUUGAUUCCCUCAAUCUUAUCUAUUUAGUAAGUCUGAACAUGAAAUACAUAUAUAUAUAUAUAUAUUUUUUAACUCUAUAACACUUUUAUACCAAUAAUGGUGGAAUUGUUUCCAAAUGACAAACCUUCCAGUUUUCUCUCUUGCAAUGUUUCAGUGCUGAAGAUAACCUUUUAAAAUCUAGUCUUUUGUUUUUUGUGUUAUUUAUCCCAAGUGUAUCACAAACACUUAAUUUUUCUUGUUUUAAAUCAUCAUUAAAAUGCAUAUUUUGUUAAUUAAUUACUAUUUUUAAGAAAAUGACAGAAUAUUUACCAAAAAUUCUAGUAUGUAUAUUUCUCCAUUUUCAAUUAGAAAAUGGUAUUUGUUAAUACAAAUAUUCUAGGCACUUCUGCACAUGUGUCAGUGCUGUGUUGCUGUUUCAAGUGCAGUUUCCGUAACUCUUAAAUUUGGGUUCUCUCUUUUGCCCACACAAAAACACAUGUGAACAUGUAAACACAUGUAUACACUUACACACUUCUACAUGGUCAAGCUUAUAACUCCAGUCCACCCAUGACCAUAUUUCUAAGUGCCUAAUCCAAUGUUUUGCUCAAUAUUUGUUGCUGGUUUUUAAAAUUGGAGGCAACCCCAAUGUUGCUAAAAAUUCUCCUUAUUUCCUCUUCUAGCUUUAUAAUAUCUGAUCCUUGCUUUAAAUCAAUUGACCAUUUUUACCUUCUCUCCUCCCUUAUUACAUCAUGUGGCUACAGUGACCUUGCUACUUCCCACUCUCAAUACUCAGUAAUAUUGCUGAUGAUCAUACAAUUGUUGUAAUAGUUUGGGCUUGGUAACAGACCUUUACAGUUCAUAUAAUGUUGUGACCAUGAUACUGGCCUCUAAUUCCUAUGAAAUAAGAAUCAUACUUUGAUAAAUGUGACCAUUCAAUCAAUGUUUCUUCUUUGUCUAAAUAUAUUUCCAUUAUGACUCCACCAUUGCAUGACUUUUUUGAGUGAUCUUUGACUUCAGUCUUUUAAAGAAUAUGAAUUCUGAUAUCCUUUGACCCACUUCAUUAACAAUAUUUACUCUAAUUAAGACAGCUGACAGAAUUAUCUGUAUGUCAGACAAAUUUCUACCAGCUUAACAUUGAAAUUCCACCAUGGUUGACUUUGCCUUUCAUCCUUUUGGGUCAAUGAAAUAAGAGCCAGUUGAGCUCUGGAGUUGAUAUGAUCAACUAGUCUCCUCUCCUCAAAAUAUCAGGCCUUGUGCCUAAAAAUAUUUACUCUCAUUUCUCUAACCUUCAGACAUUUGUAUCAUCUAAGAACUACUAACAGAUGGGGGUUAAAUCAAAAUAAUUAUUUACUUCAUUAGUGUUACAAAAAUAUGAAUUAAUAUAUAAAGUAUUGUGCCCCAUUUUAUUCUUGAAGUGCAACAUGAAUAGCAGAAAAUAUAAUGUAAAUGGAAAUUGGUUUAGGAGUAGCAACCUAAAUAUAUGUGUACAUAAGUGGAGUGAGGAGCUUUAUUAUUAUUAUUAGAGUAGGCAUAAUGGCUGAAAAUGUAUAUCAUGGAGGUUAGCUGGAUGGAAUGGUACACAAUGUAAGAUAUGUGAAUGAAUAUUUUACAUUGCUAUGUUAAACUUGGCUGAUCAUGAAUAACAAUCAUAAUGGUGGUAACAGACAAUUAGCUAAUGACAUCAACAACUACCAAUAUUAAACGAUUUAUAUAUUUUAAUGCGGUUGUGUAAUAUUGGUCACGUUUAAAAAUGUUACUAAAAUUAUAAAAUUAUCAUUACAGCAGCUUGUUCUUCUCUUGACAAAAUUGAGAUUAUAUUUAGUUGAAUUUGAAACGAAUAUUUCAUGUGUGUGUGUAUGUGAUUAAAUAGAUAGAUGCAUACACAUUAAACGUAAAAUAGUUAUCCAAAUUCCUAUGGAUAUCUUUUCUUCUUCUUCUUCUUCUUCUUCUUCUGGUAGUCUUAUAUAAGAACAUAAUUCGCUAGAACUUCGGAAAUCUUCCUUUGAAUGACAGAGAAAUCUCCCUUUAAUCACAUCCUAUCAAGUGAUUUGAGGAAGACUUCUCUACAGUUUCUUGCAAGUCAAGUGACAACAUAAAGGCUUUCACAUUGGCUCAGUGCUAUUUAGUUUUUCGAUAUAGAAGUCAAUAUAUUCUACAUAAUUUAUUAUCAAGAUAUACAUCUUGGUAUCUAAUAUGUCUUAAAUGCAAUUAGAUUUGGAAUUUUUAGUCUUGUCUUUUUUUUUUUUUAGUGAAAUAUCUAGUUUUUUUUAAAUUAGAUCUGAAGAAGACCUGUUGGUGCAAAUAUUUUUUCAAGUUUUAGUUGCAUUCAUGUGUUGUUUUCUUUUUAAAUUUGUUUUCAAUUAAUUCUUAAUUGAUUAAUCUGUGUAUGUGCACAUUUGGUAGGACAUGAUAACAUUAUGCAACUAUCAUUGGUGAAUUUAAAAGCAAAGUUCAAGUCAUUUCGGAUAAGCAUAAAAUGUAGUACACACACAACUGUGUGGCAGAGAAGUUUACUUUACAAAUAUAAAAAAAAACACAUCUCAAAGCUUAACUCUUUAGCAUUUAAUCCAGCCAUAUCUGGCCCAAAUAUUCUACUUGUUUUAUGUUGAAACUGACUAGCGCCAACCUCUAACACCUAUCCAACAUUUGUCGUUCUAAACAUAAGGUCUGAAAGCUACAAGAUAAUGCAUGAUUAAUUCAAAAUGAUAUAAAUAAGUAGUGCUGAAAGAUUAAAGGCUUUCAAGAACAUGAGGCCCCAGGACCCAGGCCAAACUAUUGAAAAACUCUGUGAAUACUUUAGACAAAAUGGAAUGGUUGCUAAAAUUUGGCAUACCUUAGGAUUAAAUAGUUGGUCUUCUAUAAAAGAGAUCUUCGGUCUCAGAAUUACAGAUUGUUUGAAGCAUAAAGUAAAAAGUCCUAAUCCUUCAUGAACUUUGGAAACAUAAUCUACCCGCAAAGCAUUUUUUUUUUAAAUAUAAAGAAAGACGAUAUGUAUCAGUUAUAUAUUAAAUGCUAAUAAAACCAAUUGAAAGAGAAGUAGCAUGGCUUAUAUACACAGCAAUUACUAGUUUGCUUUAUAAAUCAUUAGCAAUUGUUUGCAAAUGUUUUACAUAUACAUAUAUAAAAAUAUUAAUGUGCAUAUAUUCUCAGGUCAAAUAAUCCAGUAUUACACACUUGAAUAUAUGAAUGUUUCACUCUAUAUGUAAAACAUUACUUUCAUGUAAAUUUAACUAGAGAACAAAGUUGUGUUGGGUUCAAAUUAAAUCAUUGUCUCCUGUUUGAUUCAUCAAUGAAUGAAAAGUAAUUUUAGUUGAUUAGUAUCUGUUCUUUUCAAAUGUUAGUAUUGUAUACUAGUCGCUUGAUGACACCAAUCGUUAGCUACAGUUAAUUUGCUAAUUUUUUCUCAUUUUCUUCCUUAUUAAUAUUCUGUUAUGUAUAUAAUA
rnacentral:misc_RNA from 1 species